rnacentral:rRNA from 1 species
CCUACGGGAGGCAGCAGUGGGGAAUAUUGCACAAUGGGGGAAACCCUGAUGCAGCGACGCCGCGUGAGCGAAGAAGUAUUUCGGUAUGUAAAGCUCUAUCAGCAGGGAAGAAAAUGACGGUACCUGACUAAGAAGCUCCGGCUAAAUACGUGCCAGCAGCCGCGGUAAUA